rnacentral:rRNA from 1 species
GGUUAAGCGACUAAGCGUACACGGUGGAUGCCUAGGCAAUCAGAGGCGAUGAAGGACGUGCUAAUCUGCGAUAAGCGUCGGUAAGGUGAUAUGAACCGUUAUACCCGACGAUUUCCGAAUGGGGAAACCCAGUGCAAUCCGUUGCACUAUCGUUUGAUGAAUACAUAGUCAAACGAAGCGAACCGGGGGAACUGAAACAUCUCAGUACCCCGAGGAAAAGAAAUCAACCGAGAUUCCCCUAGUAGCGGCGAGCGAACGGGGAGCAGCCCAGAGUCUUAAUCAGCAUCAGCAUCAGGAGAACGGUCUGGAAAGUCCGGCAGUAAAGGGUGAUAGCCCCGUAUCCGAAGGUGUUGGUGUUGUGAACUCGACGAGUAGGGCGGGACACGUGUUAUCCUGUCUGAAUAUGGGGGGACCAUCCUCCAAGGCUAAAUACUCCUGAUUGACCGAUAGUGAACCAGUACCGUGAGGGAAAGGCGAAAAGAACCCCGGCGAGGGGAGUGAAAUAGAACCUGAAACCGUGUACGUACAAGCAGUGGGAGCACCUUCGGGUGUGACUGCGUACCUUUUGUAUAAUGGGUCAGCGACUUAUAUUCUGUAGCAAGGUUAACCGUAUAGGGGAGCCGUAGGGAAACCGAGUCUUAACUGGGCGAAUGAGUUGCAGGGUAUAGACCCGAAACCCGGUGAUCUAGCCAUGGGCAGGUUGAAGGUUGGGUAACACUAACUGGAGGACCGAACCGACUAAUGUUGAAAAAUUAGCGGAUGACUUGUGGCUGGGGGUGAAAGGCCAAUCAAACCGGGAGAUAGCUGGUUCUCCCCGAAAGCUAUUUAGGUAGCGCCUCGUGAACUCAUCUUCGGGGGUAGAGCACUGUUUCGACUAGGGGGUCAUCCCGACUUACCAACUCGAUGCAAACUACGAAUACCGAAGAAUGUUAUCACGGGAGACACACGGCGGGUGCUAACGUUCGUCGUGAAGAGGGAAACAACCCAGACCGCCAGCUAAGGUCCCAAAGUCAUGGUUAAGUGGGAAACGAAGUGGGAAGGCUCAGACAGCCAGGAUGUUGGCUUAGAAGCAGCCAUCAUUUAAAGAAAGCGUAAUAGCUCACUGGUCGAGUCGGCCUGCGCGGAAGAUGUAACGGGGCUAAACCAUGCACCGAAGCUGCGGCAGCGACAUUUAGAUGUUGUUGGGUAGGGGAGCGUUCUGUAAGCCUGCGAAGGUGUGCUGUGAGGCAUGCUGGAGGUAUCAGAAGUGCGAAUGCUGACAUAAGUAACGAUAAUGCGGGUGAAAAACCCGCACGCCGGAAGACCAAGGGUUCCUGUCCAACGUUAAUCGGGGCAGGGUGAGUCGACCCCUAAGGCGAGGCAGAAAUGCGUAGUCGAUGGGAAACAGGUUAAUAUUCCUGUACUGGUGAUAAUUGCGAUGGGGGGACGGAGAAGGCUAGGCUAUCCGGGCGACGGUUGUCCCGGUUUAAGGAUGUAGGCAGGUGAAUUAGGCAAAUCCGGUUCACUACAUGCUGAGGUCUGAUGACGAGUCACUACGGUGAUGAAGUAGCUCAUGCCCCGCUUCCAGGAAAAGCCUCUAAGCUCUAGAUUAUCAUUAAUCGUACCCCAAACCGACACAGGUGGUCAGGUAGAGAAUACUCAGGCGCUUGAGAGAACUCGGGUGAAGGAACUAGGCAAAAUGGUGCCGUAACUUCGGGAGAAGGCACGCUGGCGCUAGGUGAAGUGGUUUACCCAUGGAGCUGAAGCCAGUCGCAGAUACCAGCUGGCUGCAACUGUUUAUUAAAAACACAGCACUGUGCAAACACGAAAGUGGACGUAUACGGUGUGACGCCUGCCCGGUGCUGGAAGGUUAAUUGAUGGGGUUAUCCGUAAGGAGAAGCUCUUGAUCGAAGCCCCAGUAAACGGCGGCCGUAACUAUAACGGUCCUAAGGUAGCGAAAUUCCUUGUCGGGUAAGUUCCGACCUGCACGAAUGGCGUAAUGAUGGCCAGGCUGUCUCCACCCGAGACUCAGUGAAAUUGAACUCGCUGUGAAGAUGCAGUGUACCCGCGGCAAGACGGAAAGACCCCGUGAACCUUUACUAUAGCUUGACACUGAACAUUGAGCCUUGAUGUGUAGGAUAGGUGGGAGGCUUUGAAGUGUGGACGCCAGUCUGCAUGGAGCCAACCUUGAAAUACCACCCUUUAAUGUUUGAUGUUCUAACGUUGCCCCGUAAUCCGGGGUGCGGACAGUGUCUGGUGGGUAGUUUGACUGGGGCGGUCUCCUCCCAAAGAGUAACGGAGGAGCACGAAGGUUGGCUAAGCAUGGUCGGACAUCAUGCGGUUAGUGCAAAGGCAUAAGCCAGCUUGACUGCGAGAGUGACGGCUCGAGCAGGUACGAAAGUAGGUCUUAGUGAUCCGGUGGUUCUGAAUGGAAGGGCCAUCGCUCAACGGAUAAAAGGUACUCCGGGGAUAACAGGCUGAUACCGCCCAAGAGUUCAUAUCGACGGCGGUGUUUGGCACCUCGAUGUCGGCUCAUCACAUCCUGGGGCUGAAGUAGGUCCCAAGGGUAUGGCUGUUCGCCAUUUAAAGUGGUACGCGAGCUGGGUUUAGAACGUCGUGAGACAGUUCGGUCCCUAUCUGCCGUGGGCGUUGGAAGAUUGAAAGGGGCUGCUCCUAGUACGAGAGGACCGGAGUGGACGCACCACUGGUGUUCGGGUUGUCAUGCCAAUGGCAUUGCCCGGUAGCUAAGUGCGGAAGAGAUAACCGCUGAAAGCAUCUAAGCGGGAAACUUGCCUUGAGAUGAGUCUUCCCUGACUCUUUAAGGGUCCUAAAGGAACGUUUAAGACUAAGACGUUGAUAGGCUGGGUGUGUAAGCGUAGCGAUACGUUGAGCUAACCAGUACUAAUGAACCGUGAGGCUUAACCUG